AUUGAACGCUGGCGGAAUGCUUUACACAUGCAAGUCGAACGGCAGCACGGACUUCGGUCUGGUGGCGAGUGGCGAACAGGUGAGUAAUGUAUCGGAACGUGCCCAGUCGUGGGGGAUAACGUAGUGAAAAUUACGCUAAUACCGCAUACGAUCUAUGGAUGAAAGCGGGGGAUCGCAAGACCUCGCGCGAUUGGAGCGGCCGAUAUCAGAUUAGGUAGUUGGUGGGGUAAAGGCCCACCAAGCCAACGAUCUGUAGCUGGUCUGAGAGGACGAGCAGCCACACUGGAACUGAGACACGGUCCAGACUCCUACGGGAGGCAGGAGUGGGGAAUUUUGGACAAUCGGCGAAAGCCUGAUCCAGCCAUUCCGCGUGCAGGAUGAAGGCCCUCGGGUUGUAAACUGCUUUUGUACAGAACGAAAAGGUUUCUACUAAUACUAGGAGCUCAUGACGGUACUGUAAGAAUAAGCACCGGCUAACUACGUGCCAGCCGCCGCCGUAA
rnacentral:rRNA from 1 species